rnacentral:rRNA from 1 species
UAGGGAAUAUUGCGCAAUGGGCGAAAGCCUGACGCAGCGACGCCGCGUGGGUGAUGAAGCUCCUUGGAGUGUAAAACCCUGUCAGCGGGGAAGAACCGCAUACGGAGUAACUGCCGUAUGCCUGACGGUACCUGCAGAGGAAGCUCCGGCCAACUCCGUGCCAGCAGCCGCGGUAAUACGGGGGGAGCGAGCGUUGUUCGGAUUUACUGGGCGUAAAGGGCGCGUAGGUGGGUCAUCAAGUCAAAUGUGAAAACCAGCGGCUCAACCGUUGGCCUGCAUUUGAUACUGUUGAUCUUGAGUACGGGAGAGGAAAGCGGAAUUCCUGGUGUAGCGGUGAAAUGCGUAGAUAUCAGGAGGAACACCGGUGGCGAAGGCGGCUUUCUGGCCCGAUACUGACACUGAGGCGCGAAGGCCGGGGGAGCAAACA